ACAUCCAGCGAACUUGGCAGAGAUGCCUUGGUGCCUUCGGGAACGCUGAGACAGGUGCUGCAUGGCUGUCGUCAGCUCGUGUUGUGAAAUGUUGGGUUAAGUCCCGCAACGAGCGCAACCCUUAUCCUUUGUUGCCAGCGAUUCGGUCGGGAACUCAAAGGAGACUGCCGGUGAUAAACCGGAGGAAGGUGGGGAUGACGUCAAGUCAUCAUGGCCCUUACGAGUAGGGCUACACACGUGCUACAAUGGCGCAUACAAAGAGAGGCGACCUCGCGAGAGCAAGCGGACCUCAUAAAGUGCGUCGUAGUCCGGAUCGGAGUCUGCAACUCGACUCCGUGAAGUCGGAAUCGCUAGUAAUCGUGGAUCAGAAUGCCACGGUGAAUACGUUCCCGGGCCUUGUACACACCGCCCGUCACACCAUGGGAGUGGGUUGCAAAAGAAGUAGGUAGCUUAACCCUCGGGAGGGCGCUUACCACUUUGUGAUUCAUGACUGGGGUGAAGUCGUAACAAGGUAGGCGUAGCGAG
rnacentral:rRNA from 1 species